GCCACCUUGGCUCAGUUGGUAGAGCAGCUCACUCGUAAUGAGCAGGUCGCCGGUUCGAUUCCGGCAGGUGGCUCAA
rnacentral:tRNA from 1 species